GUACACCGUCAACAAUUCUGAAAACACAAUGAUUGGAUUAAAUAUUAUAAUAUAUCAAUUCGAAUUUUACUGUUUUCUAUUCUGAACGAAGUGAGAAAUGUAUUGCUUUUAUUGGUGAUGUGUUUUAUUUUUGUUGCUGAUUUCUACCAAAAUCCUUGUACCAAUCAAAAACUUUAUAGGAAUUUUCUUGUAGCAUUUACGAUCAGGUUAGUGCAUUGAGGAGGUCGUUUACUAAUAUUACUUGUAGUAGUAGUCUUCAUAACAACGGGAAAAACUGGCAAUUUAUUGUAUCGAUUU